rnacentral:rRNA from 1 species
AGCAGCCGCGGUAAUUCCAGCUCCAAUAGCGUAUAUUAAAGUUGUUGCAGUUAAAAAGCUCGUAGUUGAAUUUCGAGAUCGGCUUACUGGUCGUGCUUUUGUACGUACUGGUAUAAUCGGUUUCUCCUUUCUGACGAACUUUAAUGCCAUUAAUUUGGUGUUUUAGGGAAUCAGGACUGUUACUUUGAAAAAUUAGAGUGUUUAAAGCAGGCUCACGCUUGAAUACAUUAGCAUGGAAUAACGGAAUAGGACGUUUGAUUCAUUUUUGUUGGUUUCUAGGAUCGGCGUAAUGAUUAAUAGGGAUAGUUGGGGGCAUUAGUAUUCAAUUGUCAGA